UCUGGUGGCGAUAGCGAAGAGGCCACACCCGUUCCCAUCCCGAACACGGAAGUUAAGCUCUUCAGCGCCGAUGGUAGUUGGGGGUUUCCCCCUGUGAGAGUAGGACGCUGCCAGGC
rnacentral:rRNA from 1 species